GCCUUCGUUGUGUACCUGGAAGCACACUCGACUCGUAUUCGGGAGGUCCGGAGUUCGAAUCCCGGCAAGAGCA
rnacentral:tRNA from 1 species